rnacentral:rRNA from 1 species
GAUGAACGCUGGCGGCGUGCCUAAUACAUGCAAGUCGAGCGAACAGAUGAGGAGCUUGCUCCUCUGACGUUAGCGGCGGACGGGUGAGUAACACGUGGAUAACCUACCUAUAAGACUGGGAUAACUUCGGGAAACCGGAGCUAAUACCGGAUAAUAUAUUGAACCGCAUGGUUCAAUAGUGAAAGACGGUUUUGCUGUCACUUAUAGAUGGAUCCGCGCCGCAUUAGCUAGUUGGUAAGGUAACGGCUUACCAAGGCAACGAUGCGUAGCCGACCUGAGAGGGUGAUCGGCCACACUGGAACUGAGAAACGGUACAGACUCCUACGGGAGGCAGCAGUAGGGAAUCUUCCGCAAUGGGCGAAAGCCUGACGGAGCAACGCCGCGUGAGUGAUGAAGGUCUUCGGAUCGUAAAACUCUGUUAUUAGGGAAGAACAAAUGUGUAAGUAACUAUGCACGUCUUGACGGUACCUAAUCAGAAAGCCACGGCUAACUACGUG